GGGAAGGGAUGGGUUCUGGUGUUCCCUCUAGUCUUCAAAACUAGCAUGAGAAGUUAACAACUCCUUAGGUGGGUUCGAUUCCCACACCUUCUCGCCA
rnacentral:tRNA from 3 species